AUGGGGAAACCGGAGGAGCUGGGAGAACCUUAGAAUUCCGAACAGACGCCUUCAGAGUGGCUUUUCAUUUUAAUUGUUGUGAAAGCCGUAUGUGUACAGAGCUCCAGAAAAGUCUUCUAUAACGUUUAUUACAAAAAUCCGCCCUUCCCCGCCCCCUCCACUUCCGUUUUCAUCCGCAGAAUCAAUCAACCUUUGUCUCAAUUUUGUCUUCUAGUAUUUAAAACUCCAUGUUUCUGCUUCUUGAUUUCCAAAACCAUCCACGGAUUUCCUCCCAUCAACGGGUGGACAAAUGCAGAUGCCACAGACUGAGAAAGACCUUGUGACCAAGGACCCACACCCAGCUCAAGGAUGAAGGUCUGGAUAACUCCAUCAGGCUUUAGGAAGGCAGAACUAGCAAAGGAAAACUACCCUAAGCCUACAGUUCUUCAGUCCUUCUUUGUCUACACCUAAAUGUCUAAAAGGUCCACAAGUCAUUCUUGAGAGAUUCAGGUUCAACAUCUGACGUUGGAAAAGCACAGACUUGGAGAAUCAGAGCAACAUCUUUCUAGUAAAUAAAGUUGCUAGGGAAAAGACGGGAUAUUUAAUUUGUAUCCUGAGAAUGUUCAAAAAGAUAUAUUUCUUCCAGCAACAUCAUCCGCUUUUAUAAAGGAGGGACUGUUUGACAGUAAAGAAAACCAACAACAAGCUACAAACAAACGGAGGGCACUGAUACCAAAGCAGGGAAGGACAUGUUCAAAAGUGUCCUGCAGUCAAAGGAAAGGCAGAAGGAUGUGGGUAAUUGAAGAAAAAUAAAGAUACAGGGAACACAUCCAGAAGAUCCCAUGGAGGUAUAAAAUAGAGCCUAAAAGAGAAAAUUGCAAAUUGAGGAGAAACAAGAAAAGGAAGAAGAAGAAACAUUGCUUGAGUCAAAGAAAGAUUUAUGUUUCAGUCUGAAAGGAUUUCAUAAAAAGCAUCAUUAAGAGUCCUACACAUACACAUACACCUACUUGGAUAAAGGUUAUUUUUUUUUUUCAUAUCAGAGGAGGAAAAAAAAUCUAAAACCUGUAGGUAUCCAGGCAAGACUGGGAAGAAAUGGCUUACCUACAAAGAAACAGAAAUCAGGUUGGCUUCAGAUCAUUCCUUAUUAAUAUUAAAUGCCAGAAUGGAAAGAAGCAACAUUUUGAGAGUUUAAAGGGAAAAUAGUCACGGCCAGAAAAGUAUAUCAAGUUAUUUUCACUUGCAAGGGGGUAAAAAUUAUUCUUAAUAAGCAAGAACUCAGAUAGUACAUAUAUCUACACUUCCCAGAAACCUUAUUAAAAUUGUGCCCUAAAAGAUAAAUA